rnacentral:misc_RNA from 1 species
GAUGAAGAACGUAGCGAAAUGCGAUAAGUAAUGCGAAUUGCAGAAUUCAGUGAGUCAUCGAAUCUUUGAACGCACAUUGCGCCCUGUGGUAUUCCGCAGGGCAUGCCUGUUCGAGCGUCAUUUCAACCCUCAAGCUCUGCUUGGUGUUGGGCCCUGCCCGCUGCGGCCGGCCCUAAAGACAGUGGCGGUGCCGCCUGGCCCUGAGCGUAGUACAUCUCUCGCUCCAGUGCCCGGUGGUAGCCUGCCAGAACCCCAACUCUCGCGGUUGACCUCGGAUCAGGUAGGGAUACCCGCUGAACUUAAGCAUAUCAAUAAGCGGAGGA